UACACUCCUACGGGAGGCAGCAGUGGGGAAUUUUGGACAAUGGGCGAAAGCCUGAUCCAGCCAUGCCGCGUGCAGGAUGAAGGCCUUCGGGUUGUAAACUGCUUUUGUACGGAACGAAACGGCCUUUUCUAAUAAAGAGGGCUAAUGACGGUACCGUAAGAAUAAGCACCGGCUAACUACGUGCCAGCAGCCGCGGUAAUACGUAGGGUGCAAGCGUUAAUCGGAAUUACUGGGCGUAAAGCGUGCGCAGGCGGUUAUGUAAGACAGUUGUGAAAUCCCCGGGCUCAACCUGGGAACUGCAUCUGUGACUGCAUAGCUAGAGUACGGUAGAGGGGGAUGGAAUUCCGCGUGGAGCAGUGAAAUGCGUAGAUAUGCGGAGGAACACCGAUGGCGAAGGCAAUCCCCUGGACCUGUACUGACGCUCAUGCACGAAAGCGUGGGGAGCAAACAGGAUUAGAAACCCGAGUAGUCCC
rnacentral:rRNA from 1 species